UGCUUCAUUUUGGGGUCUGUUUGUCUAAAUUGGAAUGGAGCGGUUUCAUUAAAUAUAUUUCUGGUCCCCUCACUAACUCUUUAUAAAAGGGGUAUUUGUGGUAAAGUUAAACGUACUCUUUCUGGCUCCUACAAACAGGCUAUGUAUGGAAAGCCAAGGAGCAUAUGCUGAAAAAUGCACCGCUUAAACACUGUAAACCGGCAGUGUAUAAAAUAGCUUUUAAGAUUUGCGGGGAAACAGUCCUGAGUUCAAGCUGGAUAGAAGAUCGAAUGUAUCAAUUCCUUCUUCUGCUAAUGGAAGCACAUCCUGAGAGACUAAAACAGCACUGCAUAAAAUAUCCUUUUCUUCUGACGAAA